rnacentral:tmRNA from 1 species
GGGGGCGAAAGGGUUCGACGGGGAUAGAGGAGAUAGGAGUGGCGUGCCGAGGUUCCCGGUGGCUCGUCCCAUACGGGUUCCGAAAGAUGAUUCUUUCGGAAAAAACAACUGGGAUCUAAAUUUAAGUGCAGACUAUUCGUAUGCACUGGCUGCUUAAAAGGUAGCCCGUUCUCCUGAGCCCGGCCCACAGAGCUGAGGAGGGCGUCGAGACCAGUGGGCUGGUCGGAUUCCUCCGUCUGAGGGAGUCCGAUGAGACCUUAUCAGGCUGGCAUCCUGUAAAUCCUGUCUGUCGGAGCUGCAGGAUGUGAGAACUAAAAGACAGACUACGCACGUAGAUGCUCCUGUCGAAGUAUUCCCGGACGCGGGUUCGAUUCCCGCCGCCUCCACCA